GAACUUGUUUUAUGAAGCUGGGUGGUCCUGUAUUGGGUGCAUAUACAUUUAGAAUAGUUAGCUCUUCUUGUUCAAUUCUCCUGCCUCAGCCUCCUGAGUAGCUAGGAUUACACAUGCCCAGCCCAAGCCCAGCUAAUUUUUGUAUUUUUUGUAGAGAUGGGGUUUUGCCAUGUGAGUAGGAACAGACCUCUAACUUUUUACUUUCAUUUCUGAGGCUUCUCAUUCUCAGU
rnacentral:lncRNA from 1 species